UUCAAUUAUUGCUUUCGAAUAUUCUCAUGGUAUUGCUCUUUGUUUCUGAGGAUCCAAUUAAUAAGCAAAUCAUCGAGACUUGGCUGUUGACCUCAACACUCUCGUCUGCAUUGACCGAAGCAUUGACCUCUUCAAUAUCUUGGAUGUGAACCAGGCUUGGAAUAUUGGGUGUUCUUGUUCUUGGUACAUGUAAAGAGGUUUGGGCCAAUUUUGAUGCCUUUCGUGAAUCCCUCCAUCUGGGCUUAUCAAAAGAGGAGGAGGAAAGAAGCAUGUGCUCUAAGCCCGCCCAGAGUUUCAUCAAAUCCUGCGUUUUCUUGAGAUUUCUGCGAGGUUUUUGUUCGAGUAAGCAACAAGGCGCACGAUAUUGUUGAAGGGCAAAUUCUUUCACGCCUGUCCAAAAUUCGAAGUCAUUUUCAAUUCAAGGUCCACAAUAAAUUUUUUAUAAUAUAAUCUCUAGAAUAACGCUCGAUCU